CAGCACUAUGUGGCUGUUUAGUUUGUUUAUCUGUCUUCAUGCAUUGAUGUGCCUCACCGGCGGUGCCUGGCCAUGUCGAUGCCUCUCUGUAGUUCUGCACGUAUGUGCUUGAGGUUCUGCCUGGCUGUGGGACUCAAGGAUAAGUUAAAACUCUAAUGAACUGCUUUGGAGUUGAAAACCACAGAAAGAAAACAAAACAUUUAAUACAAGAUAUAAAUAUCAGAAAUCCUAAAUAAAGGAUGAAGCUUCUGGCUAUAUUUCAUUUGAGUGUUUGGCCCCAUGCAUUCUGGAAAAAAAGGUAGUGUUCUCUAAUCCAUGCAACAUCCUGGUGAAACUCUCUUGCAUCCUUUCCGAAUUCUUCCUGUUUUGUUCAGGAUGGCCCACAAUAUUCCAAUAUGGCCAAAACUAAAUUUUAUACAGGUGCAAUAUGACCACAAGUUUCAUGAAGACACAAGAGACUGCAGAUGCUGGAAUGUGGAUCAACAAACAAUAUUUGAUAUUUAUAUUCCACACUCUGACUAGUAAAGACAAGUAUGUAGCACACAUUCUUUGCCACCCCAAAUACUUGCGUUGCCACUUUCAGAGAGAUCAACUCCAAGCUCCCUCUAUGCUGAUUCUCGCUAUGAGUUUGCAGAGAAAUAAGUUUUCUCUCUAGGAAAUACAAAAAUCUUUAAAGAAUCAAUUUCCAAAUUUGCUUAAAUUAUCCGAAGAAUAAUCAACAUGAGAAAAACAGCAAUUUAAAAAUAUGCAGAAGAAACCGGGUUAUCCAUCCCUAUAAUUUAAUGUGAUAUUUUGAAAGAAAUAUAUAGAUGUCCAUUAACAAUUGAAAAGAUGUGCAGGGGAGCAUUGACCAUUACCUGGUGUUAUUGUUCAAAAGUUAAAUGUAUUAUCAAAGUACAAUAUUGUAUGUCACUAUAUACAACCCCAAGAUAUGUUUUCCUGCGGGCAUACUCAAUAAAUCCAAGAAACAUAACAGAAUCAAAGUUUUCGAUGUCAUGCCAAAUCUUUGCCAACUUCUAAGGAAGUGAAUAGAACACUCAGGCCUCACUGAGUGUGCAAGAGGAAUGGUGAAAGUGAUUGUGAGGUUUUACCUGUUAACAGUGAGGCUGCAUUUGGAAAGGUGAAUGUAGUCUUAGACACCUGCUCUUUAAAGAACCUCUAAAUAGAAAAUACAAAUUAAUAAAUGAAGCAAAUAUUUAUCUUGCAUCCCAGUGGUGAACAGCAAAGUCACUCUGGAAGUACAGUCACAAUAUAAACGUAAGGAAGUUAUAUAGACUUCAAAAGGGAUUUGGUGGAGUGAAUAAUGCGAAGUUGAGAAGUAAAAGUACUUUUCAACUAUCUACUACUAGAUUUACUACUACAUCUAGUACUACUACUAGCAGUCUACUACCAGCAGAUUUUAGUACACUAUGGUUACAUUUAUAAUACAGGAGUAAGAUGAGAUUUUUAAAAAAACAUAUACUCAAGCACCAGAGAUUCUGCAGAUGCUGGAAAUCCAGAGCAACACACACAAAAUGCUGGAGGAACUCAGUUGGUUUGAGAGCAUCUAUGGAGAGGAAUAACCAGACCGUUUAUUCCUCUCCAUAGAAUGUUGCCUGACUUGUUGAGUUCCUCUAGCAUUUUGUGUGUGUUGUUCCAUUUUUUAAAAAUAUAUUUAUAACAGAAAGGAAAGUAGAAUAAAUUAUGUAAUUAGUCAACAAAAAACUUCUAUGAUGAUAGUGAUGGAAGAGGAGGAAGUUGAGACUGGUUAGUUUUACCUUUCAAGCUCAAUUGUUGUCAUAGGCAUGCAAACACAGGGUAUAAAUUCCAUGAAAAUUAGCUUUUUGCAACAGUGGCACAGUGCAGAGAGAUGAGGACAGCACAAACUGGAAUUUGGGAAAAGAAAAAUAUAAUUAUGAUAACCACUGAAACUAUUGUAAUAUUUUACAAAUGUUUGGGAAAUGAAAUUGUAAUUUCAACAGUUUCAACAAACUGUUGAAAUAGAAAUUGCUGUAAUCUGUCCGACCGAAAUUUGAUGUGCUUUUCUUUUAAUAGUAAAAUUAUACCAAUUCAAUAAAACCAAGUCAAAAAUUAAAUCCAAGUCAAUAGGCUUUCUGUAUAACAUUAGUAAUUUUCUUUUUCACCAACUCUUUUGAGAUUUAUAACCGUAAGGAGCUGUGUUUUUAUGAUUAAGGUUGUUAUUGCCGGGGAGGUAGUGGGGGUAAGGUGCCACUACCUAUUAAAUGCUCACAAUGGUGUGAGUCUCAAACAGCCUCUGAAUACCAAUUCCAGCUCCUGCCCUUCACAUGUGGCUUAGCUACCAUGUCCAGCAGAACUGUUUCUACUGACUGGAGAAGGAGCAAAGGUGGGCCACUGGCACCUUAAAUCCAAUCGCUUCAGGCUUUGGGGGCUCUUCAGCCAUGGUUGGCAGCUCAUUUUGGGGAAGGAAAAUUCUGUUUCAAAGCUCUGUUGCCUUGCGACUAUACCCACUACAGGGAAGGCUUCAGGAGAAAACCCCAAGGAAAUAUCCAGAGCUGGAGUCCCUAAGACAUUGAGUUCAAUACAGACUAGCAGCUCCUGUGAUAUCACUGGUGCCAAACUGUGUCGGUCUCUGCCACUCAUUUGGAUUCAUCAGCUGCAUGGAGAUGGGCAGCCUGCUACACGAGCAACAGCUUACUCCCCAUACCGGAGUGCUGGCUUGCGUAUCCCAUGGACAACUAGGACACAAUAACCAUGGUCGACUUCGACCAGUGGAGGGCCUCAGAAAAAUGCAUGAUCAAGUAACAUUUUCAUAUUUGAAGCUUGAGAAGCUAGGACGUGCUGGGACACAUCAUCACGGAGGUAAAUUGGGGUCAUCAGGCGUUUUGGGUCUUUCAAAAUCAGACACCCUCACCUAGGCGACUCAGACAGGUUUGAUCAGGCCCUGGGUUGUGGCCCAGCAUUAUCAGUCCUUGGGUCACAUAUCUUGAUCCAUAGCCACUCUCAGAAGCCCCUGUGACGUUCUAGCUGGCUCUUCUCCUUGCAGCCCCCAUAAUAUGGUCGAGGCUUUGAAUGACUAUUUUGUGUCAGUCUUCACGCUGGACGGCAUGUCUACCAUGUCAAAGAGAGAUGGUAUGGAUGUGAUGGGAGAUGAUACAAUAGCUAUCACUAAAGAGGUAGUGCUGAGAAAACUUGUGGAUCUUAAGAUAGACAAGUCCCCUGGUCCUGAUGGAAUGCAUCUCAGGGUACUGAAAGAAAUUGUAGAGGUUAUAGUAGAGGCUUUGGUGAUAAUUUACCAAAAUUCUCGGGACUCUGGGCAGGUCCCGGUGGAUUGGAAGAAGGCAAAUGUCGCACCACUGUUCAAGAAGGAUGCAGGCAGAAGGCAGGUAACUAUAGGCCAGUUGGUUCAAUAUCUUUAGUUGGGCAAAUGCUUGAAGCUAUCAUUAAAGAAAUAGCAAGAUUUCUGGCAAGAAAUGGAUCCAUCAGGCAGACACAGCAUGGAUUCAGCAAACGCAGGUCCUGCUUUACAAGCUUACUGGAGCUCUUCAAGGAUAUAAUGAGCACAAUGGUAGAGGGUAACAGUUGGACGUUACUUACUUGGAUAUUCAGAAGGUUUUCGAUGAGGUGCCACAUAAAAGACUUCUCUAAGGAUGCAUAGAGUUGGAGUGAUUAUUAGCAUGGAUAGAGGAUUGGUUAACCAAUAGAAAGCAGGGAGUUCGGACCCAUGGGUGCUUCUCUUGGUGGCAAUCAGUGAUGAACGGUGUUCCGCAGGGAUCGGUGCUGGGCCCACAACUGUUCAUGAUGUACAUUAACGAUUUGGAAGAGGGGACCAAGUGUAGUGUAUUCAGUUUGCUGAUGACACUCAACUGAGUGGAAAAGCAAACUGCGCAGAAGAUAUAGAAAGUCUGCACAAAGAUUAUAGAUAGGGUAAGUGGAUGGGCAAGGGUCUGGCAGAUGGGGUACAAUGUUGGUAAAUGCAAGGUCACCCACUUUAGAAGGCAAAGUGUAAGAUUAGCUUAUUAUUUAAAUGGCAAAAAAUUGCAACAUGCUGCUGUGCAGAGGGACUUGGGAGUGCUUAUGCACGAAUCACAAAAGGUGGGUUUGCAGGUACAUCAGCCUAUCAAGAAGGCAAAUGUAAUGUUGGCCUUCAUUGAUAGAGGGAUUGAAUUUAAGAGCAGGGAGGUUAUGCUGCCACUAUGCAGGGUACUGCUGAGGCCACACCUGGAGUACUGCAUGCAUUUCUUGCCUCCUUACUUGAGGAAGGAUAUACUAGCUUUGGAGGCAGUGCAGACGAGGUUCACCAGGUUGAUUCCAGAGAUGAGGGGGUUAAGACUAUCAGGAGCGAUUGAAUUGCCUGGGAUUAUACUCAUAGAAACCUAGAAAACCUACAGCACAAUACAAGCCCUUCAGCCCACAAAGCUAUGCUGAACAUGUCCUUACCUAAGAAAUUACCUAGGGUUACCCAUAGCCUUCUAUUUUUCUGAGCUCCAUGUACCUGUCCAGGAGUCUCUUAAAAGACCCUAUCACAUCCACUUCUACCACUGGCUUCGGCAGCCCAUUCCACAUACUCACCACUCUCUGCGUAAAAAACAUGCCCAAUAUCUCCUCUGUACCUACUUCCAAGCACCUUAAAACUGUGCCUUCUUGUGCUAGCCAUUUCAGCCCUGGGAAAAAGCCUGUGACUAUCCACACGAUAGAUCGCUGGAAUGCAGACGGAUGAGAGGAGAUCUUGUAGAAACAUAAAAUUAUGAAAGGGAUAAAUAAGAUAGAACUAGGAAAGUUGUUUCCACUGGUAGGUGAGACUAGAUCUAGGGGACAUAGCUUCAAGAUUCAGGGCAGUAAAUUUAGGAUCAAGAUGAGGAGGAACUGCUUUUCUCAAAGAGUGGUAAAUCUGUGGAGUUCUCUGCCCAAUGAAGCAGUGGAGGCUACCUCAGUAAAUAUACUUAAGACAAGGUUGGAUAGAUUUUUGAAUAGUAGGGGAAUUAAGAGUAAUGGGGGAAAAGGCAGGUAGGUGGAAACGAGUACCUGAUUAGAUCAUCCAUGAUCUAAUUGAAUGCCGGAGCAGGCUCAAUGGGCCAGAUGGCCUAUGUCUUAUAUUCUUAUAAUGCCAAGGGGAGAGUAGGCCAGCAAAACCUCUACACCCAUCUCUAUAGCCUCACAUUGUGCCCUUCACCAGUCUGUGGUACUGCUCUAUCAGCUACUAAACAAUCAGCAGGAAGACACAUUCAAGCUUACAGGCUAUAUUAAACUAUAAGAAUUUUAAGAAUUUUCACCAUAUUUUUCCACCAUUGAAUCUUUGAAGACAAUUUAAGAUGUAUCUGGAAUAGUUUGGGAGGAGCAAGAUAGACAAAUUGUUACCUUUAUUCUCUGCCAAUGGGCAUGGUGGGGAUACUGCAGUUAAAUUACUGGACAAAUAAUUUGGAGAUUUAGCUGAACAAUCCAGUUAUUAAUCUGGAAUUUAAUAAAACAAUGAAUAGUGAUAAUGAUCACAGAAACUAUGAGAUUAAAGUAAAAUGCUGAGGAAAUGAAGUCAGUACUGAGGUUGGAAAACUUUAAUCUGCUUAAGUGAAAUGAUGUGCAGUUCAUUGAUUAAUAAAAUCAUAAGGUUUCAACAACUUUUAUAUAUAUGUAAAAGUUCAUAUAUAUGAAAAAAUUUAAUCCAAGUCAUAUGUCUAUGCCAUGUAACCAUGGAGAUUCACACACCUAAUAAUUUUCUUUAUUACUCAUCUUUUAUAAACAAAUCAGAAAUGCAUUUGCAGUGUGUGCAUACUCAAUUUCUUAUGUGGCUAACAUAUUAUACAAUACUGGUUUAAUUUAGAUCAGGGGUUCCCAACCUUUUUUAUGCCAUGGACCAAAUACCAUUAAGCAAGAAGUCAGUGGACCCCAGGUUAGGAACACUGGAUUUAGAUGCUGUGCCAAGUCUGAACAUAACCUUAGAAUAAGCAGAAUUUACCAAAGAAACGAAAUGAAAUAUUCUAAACAGCUUUCAACACCAGUGAAAGUGACAUAAAAAUAUUACAAAAUCUUGUUUUAUAUACAUUUGCACAUUUAAAAACAGUUUCAAGUUUGACAUAAUGGGUACUAAAACACAAACCAAUCAUAACUAUUACAUUUUAAAAACUGUCACAUUGAACUCAGUCAACAGAAUAGUGCAUUUGUAAGAUAAACGAAACUCUAGAUCGAUAACACAAUCCAUCCCUGUAUAAGCAGGAAAGGGUAUGUCAAAACCAUAGUGCGCAUCAUUAUCCCUGAUUUUAUAAUGGGUCUUCAGAAAAACACCAAUACACACUACUUGCCUUCAUCCUAUUGUUCUUCGAACAUUUCUAUUCAAGUACUGAUUCAACUCUAGCUGGCUAUGUUCACUUAAGUUUAAUGAUAAACACCAAAAACAUCUGUGCCUUGACUUUCAUCUGGCCAUAAACAACUGAAGUAAUGAUUAUUUGAUGAUUUCCCAUUUAAACCUGAUUCUGAUUUUCAAUAUUUAAAACUCAACAUUAAUGAAACUCUUGUAGUAAUAGAUACAGGAAAUGAAGGCCAACUAUAGUCUUCACAUAUAGGAUCUAACAGCGCAGAAUAACUGGAUCGUGAUUAAGAAAUAAUUCAGUCCUAAUUCAAGUCAAAAUUGUCAUUUUUAUACUUCCCAAGUAUAAUUUUUUUACAUCAAGGUUUAUAAUGGAAAAUGCAAGUUGUAAUUUGUCACACUGGAACAGCGUCCUCCUGACAAGAACUACUGAAUGAAGCAACACACACAAAAUGCUGGUGGAACGCAGCAGGUCAGGCAGCAUCUACAGGAAGAAGCGCUGUCGACGUUUCGGGACGAGACCCUUCGUCAGGUCCUGAAACCUCGACAGUGCUUCUCCCUAUAGAUGCUGCCUGGCCUGCUGCGUUCCACCAGCAUUUUGUGUGUGUAGCUUGAAUUUCCAGCAUCUGCAGAUUUCCUCAUGUUUGCCUUUUAAAUUCACCACUGAAUGAAGGUUGUAUUUAGAAUAUGACAGCAUGCCUAGGUAAUUUCUAUCAUAAAUAGUAAUGUAGCAAGUUAUGAUUGAAGUAUUUUUAACUAAACAUAUAGAGAGAAUGGAAUUGAUUUUUACAUUAUAAGUUGGCAGCAUUGAAAAUAUUUAAUAAAGAUCAUUGAGUAAAUACCAUUUACUCAAAUGGAUUAGUGUAGGUAUUAAUAGAUACAAGAAUUCAUUUCAUUUUACAUUUAUAUCUUAUUUCUUCCAAAUAACUGAACAUCAUGACUUAAAUGUAGAAGAUACUUCAAAAGUUGUUAUCUCUAGGAAUAAAUAGUUUCACAUUCAUUCUCACUGCAGUAUCAGACCAGUCAAAAGUGUGACACAGUAACGUAUCAAUUACAACGCCGGCGAUCACCCAUCCCGAGUUCGAUUCCCAAGCUGUCUGUAAGCAGUUUGUACAUUCUCCCCUUGCCCACGUGGGUUUCUUCCCACAAUCUAAAGAUGUAUGGUUAGGGUUAGUCAGUUACUUGUGGGCAUAACAUGUUGGUACUGGAAACGUGGCAAUCCUUGUGAGCUGCAUAAUUCACAGACCGUGUUGCUUGUUAAUGCAAAAUGAUGCACUUCCUUGUGUCUUUUGAUGUACAUGUAACAAAUAAAGCUAAUAUUUUAUCUCCUAA